GCCUUCGUGGUGUAGUGAUCAGCACGCUCGACUCGCAACCGAGAGGUCCGUGGUUCGACUCCCGGCAAAGGCG
rfam:Stegodyphus mimosarum contig105406, whole genome shotgun sequence.